ensembl:snRNA
GUGUUGUAUGAAAGGAGAGAAGGUUAGCACUCCCCUUGACAAGGAUGGAAGAGGCCCUUGGGCCUUACAACACGCAUUCGGUUAAGGCAUUGCCACCUACUUUGUGGCAUCUAACCACUGUUUUUG